AACGAACGUUGGCGGCACGCUUAACACAUGCAAGUCGAACGAGAAAGCUCUUCGGAGCGAGUAUAGUGGCGAACGGGUGAGUAAUGCAUGGGAACGUACCUAUUAGUUUGGGAUAACCACUGGAAACGGUGGCUAAUACCGGAUGUGUUCUUCGGAAUAAAGUUGGCCUCUGAUAUAAGCUAGCGCUAGUAGAUCGGCCCAUGUCCCAUUAGCUUGUUGGUGAGGUAAAGGCUCACCAAGGCUUCGAUGGGUAGCUGGUCUGAGAGGAUGAUCAGCCACACUGGAACUGAGACACGGUCCAG
rnacentral:rRNA from 1 species